GACGAACGCUGGCGGCAUGCCUAAUACAUGCAAGUCGAGCGAACAGAUGGAGUGCUUGCACUUCUGACGUUAGCGGCGAACGGGUGAGUAACACGUAAGGAAUCUACCUAUAAGCGGGGGAUAACAUUCGGAAACGGGUGCUAAUACCGCAUAAUAUCUUCUUCCGCAUGGAAGAAGAUUGAAAGACGGCUCUGCUGUCACUUAUAGAUGACCUUGCGGUGCAUUAGUUAGUUGGUGGGGUAACGGCCUACCAAGACGAUGAUGCAUAGCCGGACUGAGAGGGUGAUCGGCCACAAUGGGACUGAGACACGGCCCAAACUCCUACGGGAGGCAGCAGUAGGGAAUCUUCCGCAAUGGGCGAAAGCCUGACGGAGCAAUGCCGCGUGAGUGAAGAAGGCCUUCGGGUCGUAAAACACUGUUAUAAGAGAGGAACAAAUUGUAGAGUAACUGCUACAGUCUUGACGGUAUCUUAUCAGAAAGCCACGGCUAACUACGUGCCAGCCGCCGCAGUAA
rnacentral:rRNA from 1 species